UACUUGAUUUAUAGCAAGGAAAGAAUAGUUUCUCCAUCUUUACUCCCUUCUGUUCCUUUGUCCUUCUUCUCCUUUCAAACCCUAAUUACGACGCACUUCACAGAAGUUUUUCGUGUAUUUCUGAUCAAAUUGUUGAGGAUUUUUUGUUUCUCUAAAGCUUGGAUCCGUACUGCUGCUGUUGAGGAAUCCAACAGGAAUAAUGGCACUUGCACGGCGUUACCAGCCACAAGGUAGUCAUUUUUGCAGUGAUGGCAAGUCAUCUUAUGGUAGAAACAGCAGGACUGCUGCUAACUACAACUGGAACUAUGAUAGCCGCCCCUACAAUACAAAAUACUGUAUGCCAAAUCAUGAUUCGACGUAUGAUUUCACUGGAAAUUUAAUGCUGAAUGGACAAAAUCAUGAUCAUGUUUGGCCCGAUGCUGUCCCUGCUACAAAAAGGAGAAAGCUCUCAGAUAUGCCCUGUCAAAGCACUUGGAGACCCUAUCAACACCACACCAGAUACGGAAGUGGUCUUGAGGAUCAUGCUUACCUGUUGCAACCUGUACCUCCCCAGUUUGUCAACACUUACUACAAUGCCCCUUUAGCCUGCAACAAGAGUUCAGCUGUUGUUGCCCCAACCACACCUGAUGACUCCAGUGCUUAUGCCUUAACUACCUCCAAACGGGAUCGCUCAAAGUUUGAAGAUGCCGAGGAAGUGAUUUUUAUGUCGAGAGAUGAGAUAGAAAGGUGCUCACCUUCAAGAAAAGAUGGAAUUGAUGUCCUGCAUGAGACACAUUUACGAUACUCGUAUUGUGCAUUCCUUCAUAAUCUCGGUGUUCGGCUUGAUCUUCCACAGACCACUGUUGGAACUGCCAUGGUUCUGUGCCAUCGUUUCUUUGUUCGCCGUUCUCAUGCCUCUCAUGAUAGAUUUUUGUUAGCUACGGCUGCGCUCUUCCUCGCCUCAAAGUCUGAGGAGACACCACGCCCACUUAAUGAUGUACUAAGAGCAUCGUGUGAAAUGCUCCACAAGCAGGACUGCGAGUUUCUCCCUUACAUGCUCCCUAUUGACUGGUUUGAUCAGUACCGCGAACAGAUAUUAGGGGCAGAACAAUUGAUUUUAACAACCUUAAAUUUUGAGCUCGGCGUGCAGCAUCCAUAUGAAUCUCUGACAUCCACUCUUCAAAAAUUAGGUUUCUCACAAUCUGUUUUGGUGCAUCUGGCGUUGAGCUUGGUCAGUGAAGGGGUCUAUAGAGGAUUAGCGUGCUCACCUUAUGAUAUUAGUAGCUGGCGGUUGAUGUGCUGUUCAUCAAUGUUUUGUUUUUCAUCUGAAGUUGAUCUAGAGAUAUCUUGUGGAUGCCUUUUCCAUGCUGACACCUUAAUGACAUGCUCAUUGGCUAUAGAAGAUAGUUCAUGGAUGACUCAAACUAAUAUUGCCAUUUGGACAUUCUGAUUUUGCGUUCAUAGGGGAAUUUUAUGUGGGAUAUAUGUUUGUCUGUUCAGUCUAUUCCACACGGAAUGCUAUAAACAGGCUGAGGAGUUUGUGAAGGCGCUUGCGGGGGAAAAAGCGCGGAUCUUCACCUCAUAACGGCCAGUACACAUGUUUUCAAAUGUGUAAUAAACUUGAAAGGAAUGUCUAAACAUAAAUUUUCUUGUGAUAACUUAUGUAAAAGAUACUUGAUAUUUGAUUCAUGAUUCUUGUGGUUCAAAAGUAUAUGAGGAGUUUGUUAACUUUCUAGGAUUCUGAUUUCAGGAACUUGAAAUAACACUAUUACAUCUAUAAUGACUCUUUAAAAGCGUAUCACACAACAGUACCUGUUGGUUUUUAAUUAAUAAAGAGAGCCUCUUCUGUAGGAUUACAUUAAUUGUCUAAUUGUAGAGAAUGGACAUACUUUUUGUGUAUAUAUACUUGAGUGUUCGUCACGGAAACUAGUUUGUGCAGUCACACAUAUCUGUGGCUGAAAGCUAUAUUAGUAUUCUUUAGGCAAAAUCUAUUUCAAUCCAAGAGCAUGGAGACUUGCAUGUUGCAAGCCUUCUAUCAAAUUUUGGGGGGAUUUGGCUCGGUGGGAGGUGUAGCUUGCGUGCAAUAUACGGUCCUGCUCUUUUAUCCCCAUCAAAGUCAACACGGUGUUGGGACAUUGUGGCCGCAGAAGUGAGUCAUGAAGUCGCUAAUCGCUAUAUCUGUAGGUGGUGUAACAUAUUUUCUAUAUUAGGGUACUUUGUCAGCGUACCCCGCCGAAGAAUCUUGGGUAU